rnacentral:rRNA from 1 species
CACGAACGCUGGCGGCAGGCUUAACACAUGCAAGUCGAGCGCCCCGCAAGGGGAGCGGCAGACGGGUGAGUAACGCGUGGGAAUCUACCCAUCUCUACGGAAUAACGCAUGGAAACGUGUGCUAAUACCGUAUACGUCCUUCGGGAGAAAGAUUUAUCGGAGAUGGAUGAGCCCGCGUUGGAUUAGCUAGUUGGUGGGGUAAAGGCCUACCAAGGCGAUGAUCCAUAGCUGGUCUGAGAGGAUGAUCAGCCACACUGGGACUGAGACACGGCCCAGACUCCUACGGGAGGCAGCAGUGGGGAAUAUUGGACAAUGGGCGCAAGCCUGAUCCAGCCAUGCUGCGUGAGUGAUGAAGGCCCUAGGGUUGUAAAGCUCUUUCACCGGUGAAGAUAAUGACGGUAACCGGAGAAGAAGCCCCAGCUAACUUCGUGCCAGCCGCCGCGUAAAAC